rnacentral:rRNA from 1 species
AGCGAACGCUGGCGGCAGGCUUAACACAUGCAAGUCGAGCGGGCGUAGCAAUACGUCAGCGGCAGACGGGUGAGUAACGCGUGGGAACGUACCUUUUGGUUCGGAACAACACAGGGAAACUUGUGCUAAUACCGAAUAAGCCCUUACGGGGAAAGAUUUAUCGCCGAAAGAUCGGCCCGCGUCUGAUUAGCUAGUUGGUGAGGUAACGGCUCACCAAGGCGACGAUCAGUAGCUGGUCUGAGAGGAUGAUCAGCCACAUUGGGACUGAGACACGGCCCAAACUCCUACGGGAGGCAGCAGUGGGGAAUAUUGGACAAUGGGCGCAAGCCUGAUCCAGCCAUGCCGCGUGAGUGAUGAAGGCCCUAGGGUUGUAAAGCUCUUUUGUGCGGGAAGAUAAUGACGGUACCGCAAGAAUAAGCCCCGGCUAACUUCGUGCCAGCAGCCGCGGUAAUACGAAGGGGGCUAGCGUUGCUCGGGAUCACUGGGCGUAAAGGGUGCGUAGGCGGGUCUUUAAGUCAGGGGUGAAAUCCUGGAGCUCAACUCCAGAACUGCCUUUGAUACUGAGGAUCUUGAGUUCGGGAGAGGUGAGUGGAACUGCGAGUGUAGAGGUGAAAUUCGUAGAUAUUCGCAAGAACACCAGUGGCGAAGGCGGCUCACUGGCCCGAUACUGACGCUGAGGCACGAAAGCGUGGGGAGCAAACAGGAUUAGAUACCCUGGUAGUCCACGC